GACGAACGCUGGCGGCGUGCUUAACACAUGCAAGUCGAACGGAAAGGCCCUGCUUUUGUGGGGUGCUCGAGUGGCGAACGGGUGAGUAACACGUGAGUAACCUGCCCUUGACUUUGGGAUAACUUCAGGAAACUGGGGCUAAUACCGGAUAGGAGCUCCUGCUGCAUGGUGGGGGUUGGAAAGUUUCGGCGGUUGGGGAUGGACUCGCGGCUUAUCAGCUUGUUGGUGGGGUAGUGGCUUACCAAGGCUUUGACGGGUAGCCGGCCUGAGAGGGUGACCGGCCACAUUGGGACUGGGGUACGGCCCAGAAUCCUACGGGAGGCAGCAGUGGGGAAUAUUGCACAAUGGGCGGAAGCCUGAUGCAGCAACGCCGCGUGCGGGAUGACGGCCUUCGGGUUGUAAACCGCUUUCGCCUGUGACGAAGCGUGAGUGACGGUAAUGGGUAAAGAAGCACCGGCUAACUACGUG
rnacentral:rRNA from 1 species